rnacentral:rRNA from 1 species
GUGGGGAAUAUUGGACAAUGGGCGCAAGCCUGAUCCAGCCAUGCCGCGUGAGUGAUGAAGGCCCUAGGGUUGUAAAGCUCUUUCACCGGAGAAGAUAAUGACGGUAUCCGGAGAAGAAGCCCCGGCUAACUUCGUGCCAGCAGCCGCGGUAAUACGAAGGGGGCUAGCGUUGUUCGGAAUUACUGGGCGUAAAGCGCACGUAGGCGGAGAUUUAAGUCAGGGGUGAAAUCCCGGAGCUCAACUCUGGAAAUGCCUUUGAUACUGGGUAUCUCGAGUAUGGAAGAGGUGAGUGGAAUUCCGAGUGUAGAGGUGAAAUUCGUAGAUAUUCGGAGGAACACCAGUGGCGAAGGCGGCUCACUGGUCCAUUACUGACGCUGAGGUGCGAAAGCGUGGGGAGCAAACAGGAUUAGAAACCCUUGUAGUCC